rnacentral:lncRNA from 1 species
AAGAAUUGAUUUCCAAAACUGUGUUUGAGUAAAUGGUUGUGUCUUUCGUAGAGAGGAAACAAAGAUAGCGGGAAAGUUGAAAAAACAGAGCAAGCAAACAGAGGAAGAGCAAAGCAAACAUAGGCAGAGGUUGGUACUAUGCGAAGAGGUGACCAUCUAAGAGGGACGAGUACGCAGAGGAGGAGUUCAAAGAGCGAUGAGGACAACGACAUACCUAAGAUACAGAGAAGAGACGAAGGUAAGUGUGGUAAGUUAUUUUGGAUUUUUUCUGUUUUAGGGUUUUAAAUAUGUUGUUUGUUGCAUUUGUGGGAGUUCUCUUUUGAAUGAGUUUUAUUUUCACUGCAACGGUGGACGUUUUGUUUUGUGGUCGUGGUGUUGUACAUUUUUGUCCUUAUUUAUUGAUUUGUUUAGGGUGGUUUAUGGUUUAUUUAGAAUAUUUUUCGUUGUUAAUUUGUUUGAGGAUGUGGUGCCAUUGGUGUGGGUUGUUUUGUACUUUAUUUUUUUAUUUAUUAAAUGAAUCAUUUUUUAAAGUUUGGAAAAUGGCAAGUUCGCGCUCAAAGAAAUUUUCUCCCGUGGAGGAGACAAAUUGAAGGUACUGUUUUUUAUAUUAUGUUGAUAGUAGUUGAAUAUAUUUUGAAAUAGCAGUGUUCAAUAAAUAAAUAUUGUAUUGUUUUGUGUUUUGAUUUUGUAGUUACGAGUUAGACACAAUAUGCACACUAAUCAUGUUGUUGAAAUCAAUUGUAACCUUACUACCUUUCAACGACAAAAGAUUCAACAAACAACAUUUAAGUGGAUGGUUGAAGUAGAGAAUGUGUUGGACAUUUCUAACACUUUUCUCCAAGAACUAAUGAGUAGAUAAUCAGUGGAUAAUAAUGCAUUUAGGAUUUGUAAGAAUUUAGUUCCUUUUUGUCUUCUAGAUGUAUGUUUUGGAUUAGGAUUGUAGGUUGUGGGGGAAGAGGUAAAUUUGGAGGACAAUGAGGGAGGUUUGGUGAAUGACUUGUUUGAUGAUGGAGAAGAAAUUAAAUUAAUAUAGUUUUAAAAAAGUUGGGGGAUAAAAAUUUGAGAAGAAAGAAAAAUGUAGAUGAUUUUUGUAGGUUGUACAUAUUGCUUGCAUUAUGUGUUUUCUAUCUUCCUAGGACUUUUAGGACAUUUUUUUGUUUUUAUUUUAAUUUGUUAGACAAUUUAGAUGCCUUACAUGUAUAUAACUAGAGGUGUAGUUCAUAAUUUAUUAGUUUCAAGUUUGAUAAGGGCAUUUGAAGUUUAUUAUCAAGACAAGAAUGCCCGUGAGAUAUAUUUGGCGGGUUUUGUUGUCGUGUUGCAGGUCAGUGAAAAUUGUGAUAAGCAAGUUUGUAAUGAACUGGUGAUUAUUUGUAAUGUUAAUUAUUUGUGUAUUACUUUUUCAGAAAUAGGUGUGGGCGGUUUACCAUGUUGGUUUUGGGAAUCAUGUUGAUUGUACUAGUUUUCCACGUUGCACUGACCGUGUGUAAAUAAUCGGGAAAGAACAUUACGUGAAGGGUUUUUAUCUGCUAAGGUGUUUUUUUUAUUGAUUAAGUUUUUUGUGCAUAUUGUUGAAUUAAUUUUUGAAUGAUUAGAAAUAAUUGGUUUUUCCAUAUUGUAUGAGAUUGACCAAUGAGUGCAGAUGAGGAAGGUUUAGAAAUUGUUAAAGAAGCCUUAGAAAAUGGUGUUGAGUAAGUUGGAGAAUCUACUUAUUAUAUAAGUGAGUGGGAGAACUUACUUGAGCAGCAUAAAGUCUGCGAAAAGCAAGUUGCAGAUAACCAGAAGAGGAUGGUUGAUUUGGAUAAGCAAAUCAAAGAGGUUUAACAACUUGUUGAUAAAGAAAAGCAUUGGUCUCUUGGAUUUGUGCAUAUUGAAGCCAGCCCAACCUCUGUUGGUCCAAGCUUAGCUGGUUUGGAUAUUUUUAAGAUUUAUAGAACAGUUUGUUCGGUGAAUUGUGACAUGAAGCGGUAAAUGAAUGUGUAACAUAAGUUAUGUUAAUGAUUACUUCAUUUAUUGUUUUUGCAUGAUUGAUGAAUUGGUGUUGAUGUUGUUGUAGCAUUAUUGUUUACAUAUAAAAGAACAUAUUGACGAUAACGGAAUUGCAAUCGUUAACCCCAAUCAAGAAAUGACAACAUGGUAGAAAUUUACAUACCGAUGUUUUUGUUGUAUGUAGUUAUAUUAUUUAGUUAUUUAUGUUAAAUGUGCUUGUAUGUUAUGUGUAAUCGGGUUGUUCAAUCUGAAUGAAAUUGAACAUUUUGGAUUACUAAAGCGGUUUUACUUAAAUCCCUUUUUUUACGGUUAAUGUGGAUUUAAAUUUGUUGUUAUUUGUUUGAAGUUUUUGGUAAUAGUACUAACUAAGUUAGUUUCUGCAAAGCCGCAUAAUUCAAGAGACGAAUGUGAAAUGGGGACAAAGAUCGUGGACUAUUUUUUAUUACACCUCCUUUUAUGCGAAGGGUUUAUUCUCGUAUUAGGCCAUAUCAUAUUGUGAUUUUGUAAGUCUAUAUUAGUCAUGUUUUGUGUAAAUAAAUGUUGUUGGUUUUCUUUACAAUGAUGUUGUUGAGUGUGAAUUUAAACUUUUGCACUUGUUUGUAGGUUUUUGUUCCAAUAGUUUUCAACGACCAAUAGUGGCAUAAGGCAAUUGCAUGUGUUGGACACGCUUGGUCAUAUAAUUGAAGGUCGACAGAAAAUUGAUAAAGUAAUAGUAAAUAGUUGCAUGUUGUUU